rnacentral:lncRNA from 10 species
GAAACUCUAAAAUUUAAUGUGACAUAUUAAGAAAAAAAUCCAAAAAUAUAAUACUCAAAAUUAAGAUGGGCUUAAGAGCAAAUGAAAUGUAGCUAACAUUUUUCAAGGAGAGAAUGAUUAAAAAUGAGAUGAAAGACACAGAGGAAACCAGGGCCUUCUAAGCAAUGGGAGGAAGUCUAGAUUUUAUUCUCAUUGCUCUAUGGGAUGUCUCUGGAGGGCAUGAUCUUGAGUUGGAAGCCUGGCAGUAUGUCAACAUUUAAAGGUCCACAAGAAGCACUUCAGGGAGAUUAAGAAAGAGAAGUCCAGAGAAGUGACAGUCAGAUUUGCAAGAUGGAGGUCAUUGGUUGGAUGGUUUUUUAUCCAUGUAAUUUAUACUCCAACCCAUGGUUUUUUAAGAGUGACAGAAAAGUUAUUAAUAAUUUUGCCAAGACAAUAGGUGUAAGCUGGGACUGUCCUGGGCAAACAAGAACAUAUGGUCACCCUAGGCUUUGGUGACCCUGUUAAGACUGGUUUCAGCAGAGCUGUCGUGAUGGCAAU